AGAGUUUGAUCAUGGCUCAGAUUGAACGCUGGCGGCAUGCCUUACACAUGCAAGUCGAACGGUAACGGGCCUUCGGGUGCCGACGAGUGGCGAACGGGUGAGUAAUGCAUCGGAACGUACCUUUCAGUGGGGGAUAACGUAGCGAAAGUUACGCUAAUACCGCAUAUUCUGUGAGCAGGAAAGCAGGGGAUCGCAAGACCUUGCGCUGAUUGAGCGGCCGAUGUCAGAUUAGCUAGUUGGUGAGGUAAAGGCUCACCAAGGCGACGAUCUGUAGCGGGUCUGAGAGGAUGAUCCGCCACACUGGAACUGAGACACGGUCCAGACUCCUACGGGAGGCAGCAGUGGGGAAUUUUUGGACAAUGGGGGCAACCCUGAUCCAGCCAUGCCGCGUGAGUGAAGAAGGCCUUCGGGUUGUAAAGCUCUUUCGGCCGGGAAGAAAUCGCAUGGGUUAAUACCCUGUGCGGAUGACGGUACCGGCAUAAGAAGCACCGGCUAACUACGUG
rnacentral:rRNA from 1 species